AUGUGCGUGUUGAGCGUGGAGACUUGGGCGAGCAGGCGGUCCAGCUUCUCUUCAAUGGAAUCCUCAGGAACGUUCCCCAUGGAGCCGGACAGAGGUGUCGAUGCUCCACUGGUCUUUGAUACCAAAUUGAUGCGGCCACCUCUGGAGGGCCUCUUUGGCGACCGUAGAGGUGAGAGGAGGAGGAGGCUAGAACCAGGAACAGAUCUGAGAGGGAUGAUAAAUCAUCAAAGAAUUGAGAUAAUACGGGCAGUUACUGGUGAAAGGUACAGCCAUGCCACAGCUUUUAACCUACGCAAAUGUUGCCCUGGAAGCAAAAAUAACUACCGUGGACAGGAGGGGACCAUUCCUUGGUCAAUUCACUCGCGAAUAAAUAUGGUCGCUGCUGCAUGUGAGACUGCAUCGGUGCUCACUCACUGUCUCGGGAGUAAACUAAUGGUAAUAGGACCAGUCAAGGUGAAGAUUAAGAUGAUGGCCGCUUCUGGCAUCCAUGUUCUCCUUCCUGUGAGUGAUGAUGCCUCGAGUAGUGUUGACCUGCUUGGUUUACUGAUCUGUGAUGUACUGCUGUCCACUGUCCUAUGUUGGAUGACACAGGUGAGCUGCGAGCAAGAGCUUGAUCUGGUCGUCUCUCGUCUCGGCCUCCUCGUCACGGGGCACGAGGACCAAGGCAUUCCCUGUCCCUCCACUCGAGGUGCAUGCUAUCGUACGGGGCUCCGGCCUGUGGUGUUGAAGGCGUACAACAACGGGUACACGUACCGCGACGGAAGAUACUCGCAUAUAUGUGUGACAAACGGAACCAGCUAG
rnacentral:lncRNA from 1 species